rnacentral:tRNA from 1 species
GAUCUAGUGGUCUAAAUAAUGAUGUCUGUUUUACACGCAGAGGGUGGGUGUUUCCCCGUGAUUA